AUGCCUCCGUUCCGGGGCUGGACGGACCUGCCGCCGGAGCUCGUCGGCCAGAUCGCCGACGGCCUCGACGAUCUCAAGUGCUACGCCAGCACGCGGGGAGCCUGCAGCACAUGGCGUCGCGCCCUCCCGCCGCCGGCCCCUUCACUGCUUGUCGACCACGGCGCCGCCGCCAUCAAGUGCCGCGGGCUCUGCCCCGCUGCGCGCCGCUCUUUCCAGCUCGCCAAAAUCCCUGCGCCCAGGACCUGCCUCGGCUGCUGCAGCGGAUGGCUCGCUCUCUCCGUCUUCAUCGACGACGUCCACAGCCUGCUCAGCCUCUUCCAUCCCGUCACCGCCGCCGAGAUCCUCCUGCCGCCGCUCAUCUACAACACCCGCCUCGUCUCCAAGAUCGUCUUCGCGCCCAACCCCGCCACCGAUGACUUCGCCGCCACCGCCAUAUGUGACAUCGACAGGCUCGCCUACGUCACCGCGGGGGCCAGGAGAUGGGCCGUCCUCGACCCUGUCCACCUCGCCGCCGGAGACCAGCUCGUCGACCUCCUCUACCAUGGAAAUGGUAUGGUCUACUGUCUCACUCGGUUUGGAGAUGUCCACGUGCUCCGCCUGCCACAGCGUCGCCGUCGGGAACCUAUCAUCCUCGAGUGCCACACACCAGCAGAUUAUCCAGUAGUGCAUAACAAGCGGAUCUUCCAGAUGCAUGGAACCGGACCGGACCUAAAUGUGCGGGCCACAGACGAGCCACUGUUGUCAUCUGUGGGCAACCCAGUGUUCGACGCCGCCACCUGUUUCACUCAGCCAUACAUCCCGGUCUCGAUUUUUACUAGUGCCAAGAACCUGGUGUUCUGCGAGGGUAACUUGUACCAAAUCUGGAGGAAUGUGACCUGCACGGUUACUUUGCAGCUGUCAGGAGAGGGUCGCCGCCGUGUAGUAGAGGAUGAAAUAUUUGUUAUGAGGUAUGAUCCCUGGCGACGGCCAUGUUGGGACGCCGUGUCCGACCUGGGAGGAUACUCCAUCUUUGUCGGGAGGAACAAUGUGGUUUCGAUGCACGCAGAAGGUGUUCCUGGACUCAUGGGUGAUUGUGUGUACUGGAUAGGCGGAAGGGGUAGAGAUCAGGGCAUGGUCUUUAACAUGAAGACUGGGAGAUCAACACCUUGCCUUCCCCCCUUAGAUGGUGUCGUUCUCGGAUCUCCACAAAGCACAAUUUGCUGGUACUUUUUGAGCGACACAGUCAAUAAUGGCAAUAAUACGUAUGAAAGAGGAGUUUAUCGGACCAGGGCAAGGGCCCGGGCUGAAUCUGGACAAAAGUGA
rnacentral:rRNA from 1 species